GUGACGGUACUGCAGACGAAGCGCGGCUAACUACGUGCCAGCAGCCGCGGUAUACGUAGGGCGCAAGCGUAUCCGGAAUUAUUGGGCGUAAAGAGCUCGUAGGCGGUUUGUCGCGUCUAUCGUGAAAGUCCGAGGCUCAACCUCGGAUCUGCGGUGGGUACGGGCAGACUAGAGUGAUGUAGGGGAGACUGGAGUUCCUGGUGUAGCGGUGAAAUGCGCAGAUAUCAGGAGGAACACCGAUGGCGAAGGCAGGUCUCUGGGCAUUAACUGACGCUGAGGAGCGAAAGCAUGGGGAGCGAACAGGAUUAGAUACCCUGGUAGUCCAUGCCGUAAACGUUGGGCACUAGGCGUGGGGGACAUUCCACGUUUUCCGCGCCGUAGCUAACGCAUUAAGUGCCCCGCCUGGGGAGUACGGCCGCAAGGCUAAAACUCAAAGGAAUUGACGGGGGCCCGCACAAGCGGCGGAGCAUGCGGAUUAAUUCGAUGCAACGCGAAGAACCUUACCAAGGCUUGACAUGUGCCAGACCGCCGUGGAAACACGGUUUCCCCUUUGGGGCUGGUUCACAGGUGGUGCAUGGUUGUCGUCAGCUCGUGUCGUGAGAUGUUGGGUUAAGUCCCGCAACGAGCGCAACCCUCGUUCUAUGUUGCCAGCACGUGAUGGUGGGGACUCAUAGGAGACUGCCGGGGUCAACUCGGAGGAAGGUGGGGACGACGUCAAAUCAUCAUGCCCCUUAUGUCUUGGGCUUCACGCAUGCUACAAUGGCCGGUACAAUGGGUUGCGAUACUGUGAGGUGGAGCUAAUCCCAAAAAGCCGGUCUCAGUUCGGAUUGGGGUCUGCAACUCGACCCCAUGAAGUCGGAGUCGCUAGUAAUCGCAGAUCAGCAACGCUGCGGUGAAUACGUUCCCGGGCCUUGUACACACCGCCCGUCAAGUCACGAAAGUUGGUAACACCCGAAGCCGGUGGCCUAACCCCUUGUGGGAGGGAGCCGUCGAAGGUGGGGCUGGA
rnacentral:rRNA from 1 species